rnacentral:rRNA from 1 species
AUUGAACGCUGGCGGAAUGCUUUACACAUGCAAGUCGAACGGCAGCACGGGGGCAACCCUGGUGGCGAGUGGCGAACGGGUGAGUAAUACAUCGGAACGUGCCCAGUCGUGGGGGAUAACGUAGCGAAAGUCACGCUAAUACCGCAUACGAUCUACGGAUGAAAGCGGGGGACCGUAAGGCCUCGCGCGGUUGGAGCGGCCGAUGUCAGAUUAGGUAGUUGGUGAGGUAAAGGCUCAACAAGCCGACGAUCUGUAGCUGGUCUGAGAGGACGACCGGCCACACUGGGACUGAGCCACGGCCCAGACUCCUACGGGAGGCAGCAGUGGGGAAUUUUGGACAAUGGGCGCAAGCCUGAUCCAGCCAUUCCGCGUGCAGGACGAAGGCCUUCGGGUUGUAAACUGCUUUUGUACGGAACGAAAAGGCUCUGGUUAAUACCUGGGGCUCAUGACGGUACCGUAAGAAUAAGCACCGGCUAACUACGUGCCAGCCGCCGCCGUAA